rnacentral:misc_RNA from 1 species
UGUCGCGCGGUCACACGGAUCCUCAGUUCGCAUUCGGAGGCCCUGCGAGCUACAUCUCUUUGAGAAGGAAAAGAAAGAGUCGACGGGAGCUUUCAAGUUUCCCCCUCCACGGGAUCCGCGGCAAAGAUUCUUCGAUCCGAAAAAGUGCCAAGUUUCUCUCGCACGUACUCUCUCUGUCAUCGGUAUAUAUACAUAUACACACAUACGUAAUCGUCUUUCGUUUUCACGGUGAUCUCUACACGUGACAAGCUGAGCAUCGAAGAGGCUCGAAGGCAAGAGAGCGGCGUGCUUGUUCGACGCGAGAGGAGAUAUAUUUCGUUUAUUCGAUCGUUUGAAUUGGUUGAUUUCGCGAAUUUGAUUCGCGUCCUUGUUGAUCUCCUCGUACGCUUGAGAGAAUUGAAACGGGUGUGCUUCCAAUGUAAAUCUACAAGAGCGUAUCGUCGGAGUGGCAGUUUUUGUGUUAUCGAAGUUGGUAUACGUAUUACCGCGGUUUUUUCACGAUUUCCACGUACACUGUCCUGCUCUGAAGAAGAAGGAGAAGAAGAAAAACAAGGCUUAGCCACAGCCGGAUCGCAACUACGUUAAAACUAGCUCCAGUGUGUUUUUGUGCGAAAUCGAGAGAACAUGUCGACUGCCGUCAUGAGCACCCCUAUGUUCGACUGUAGCAGCGAGCACAUAUUUAAGAACGCGAAGGCGAAGGAAGCAACAUCGGGAUCCGCGGCGAACGGGUCGAGCAACGGUUCGAGCGGGAACAACGGGGGACACGCGCCACUUCGUCGCUACACGUCCCUGGUAACAACCCUGAUCGAGCAACACCGUAAACUGGAUCGCAGCGCGAGCGAGCCGACCUCCCGGUACAAGACCGAGUUGUGCAGGCCAUUCGAGGAAAGCGGCACCUGCAAAUAUGGCGACAAGUGUCAGUUCGCUCACGGGUACAGCGAGUUGCGCAACCUCGCCCGCCAUCCCAAAUACAAGACCGAGCUGUGCCGCACGUUUCACACGAUCGGUUUCUGCCCGUACGGGCCCCGUUGCCAUUUCAUCCACAACUUCGAGGAGGCCCGGAUCCACAAUCAGAAAGUGAGCGCCCAGCUGGGAUCCACCCAGCCCAACAUAAUAAGCCUGAACCCUUUGUUGAGCGCGGCAGCGGCGGCGGCCGUGGCCGCUGGUGGAAACGGGUCCAACGUGAACUCGAGCAGCAACGUCUCGUUGCUCGAGCAGAUCGUCGCCUCCCCGCAGGUGACGGCGAUCGCUGCCGCGGCGACCACCCCCAACCUCAUGAGAACCAACUCGUUGAGCUUGUGCAACUCGAGCAACUCGGUGUACAACCCGCCGCCGUUGCUAAGAACGAACUCGUUGAGCUUGACGACCAGCCAACACCAUCACCAUCACCAUCACCAUCACCACCAUCAUCAGACCGGUUCGACGAGCGCGAGCUCGGUGAUCGGCGCCACCAGGCCCAAGCCGUUGAAUCUCAGCCCGACCUUCUCGCUUGGCAGCACCGGGGACUCGAUUUCACCUUCGUCCAGCCUCAGUCAGUCGCCCACCAACUCGAUGGCGAGUUUCUUCAGCGACGACUGUAAUCAACAACCGUCCGUCACCAGCCUACCCACCACGCCGUUCAGUUUCGGCCAGGAUUUCGGCCUUCUCGCGACCAGGCAAAGCCCCAGCCCGCGAACCAACAGCGUUUGCAGUCCUUUGGGCUCGGACGAGCUCGCGCCAAGGACACCGUCCCCGUUGUCGCCCAACGCCGAGUCCAGGCUCCCCGUAUUCAACAGGAUCAGCAGCACUCUCACCGACUUCGACAAUCUUAAGAUCUAAGGGGAGCUCUCCUUUCCGACUCCUGGGUCCUUCCACUCUUUGGUAUUUUAUUCUUUUUGUUUUCUUCUUCUUCUUCUUCUUCUUCUUUUUCUACUAUUAUUACUACCACUACUACUAUUUCUUCUUCUUCUUUCUUUCUUUCUUUCCUUCUUUCCCCGCGAUCUUUGUAAAAGAUGUACGUACGAUACGCGUACGAGGAUGUUUCGAACAACACGCGCAAAGGAAGAACAAGAGAGAGGACACAAAGAGCGUUGGACCCAAAAAUAUAUAACUAUUCUAAUUUAAUGAUAUCGAUGGAAAAGACAGGAGAAUGUGUUUAAGGGAGAGGGACACGGACUCUUCCACCGACUUGAAGAGGUUUUUUUUUUUUCCUUUUUCUUCGUCUUCUUCUUCUUCUUCUUUUUAUUCUUUUUACUACGCAUAUAUACACACACAUACACACACACACACACAAAUAUAUAUAUAUAUUUUUUUUAACAUUUAAACUGCAUUUCUCGCGUUAGACGGAUCCUUCCUCUCCGUCAGCUUCUUAUUUAAGCGUUUCUUUUCUGUUCGUAGGACACGUUAGGCAUCUUACUCUCGUUCUUU